UGGCAUUUUAGUAAGUUCAAUUACAAUUUCCUAAAUCUUCUUCCUCCUCGGACCGAUUCCCAACGCCAUCACCUGCCAACAACUCGCUCUCUCUCUAUUCCCCCUUCUUUCUCUUUCUCUGUCUUCCGCAAUGUCUGCAACCGCCACUCGCCUCCGCCGUCUAGCUGCCGCCGCCGCUGCGGUAGCAGUGACUGUGGGCGGUGGCGCAAUCCUCUUUACUCCUAUAUCUGUCAAUGACCGUGCCGGUGGCGCCGCAUUAGAGUCCGUCAGGCGGAAGAUUAAUGAUCCGAGCGCCAUCGUUCCGUCGCGAACUGUACAGGAAUCGGCUUUGCUAGGUGCCAGCACGACUAAGCCACUCGACAUCCUAGUUGUCGGGGGCGGUGCCACCGGCUGCGGGGUUGCGCUCGACGCCGCCACUAGAGGCCUCCGCGUCGGCCUCGUUGAACGAGAAGAUUUCUCCUCCGGAACGUCUUCGCGGUCCACGAAGCUAAUUCAUGGUGGUGUCCGCUACUUGGAAAAAGCUGUCUUCAACCUUGACUAUGGGCAAUUAAAGCUGGUUUUUCAUGCACUUGAGGAGCGCAAAUAUUUUAUUGAGAAUGCUCCUCAUCUCUGCCAUGCUUUGCCAUGCAUGACGCCCUGCUUUGACUGGUUUGAGGUAGUAUACUACUGGAUGGGCUUGAAAUUGUACGAUUUGGUUGCAGGACCACGUUUGUUACAUUUGUCCAGAUAUUAUUCUGCGCAAGAAUCUGUUGAGCUCUUCCCUACUCUUGCAAGGAAAGGUAAAGAUAAAAGCUUGAAGGGCACAGUUGUGUACUAUGAUGGGCAGAUGAAUGACUCUCGCCUAAAUGUUGGAUUAGCUUGCACUGCUGCACUAGCUGGGGCAGCAGUGCUUAACCAUGCAGAAGUUGUAACCUUUCUUAAAGAUGAAGCUACUGAGCGGAUAAUUGGUGCAAGAAUUCGUGACAAUCUGUCAGGCCAAGAGUUUGACACAUAUGCUAAAGUUGUUGUGAAUGCGGCUGGACCAUUUUGUGACUCUGUAAGGAAAAUGGCUGACAAAGAUGCACAACCUAUGAUAUGUCCCAGCAGCGGUGUACAUAUUGUUCUCCCUGAUUACUAUUCUCCAGAAGGAAUGGGCUUGAUUGUUCCUAAAACUAAGGAUGGACGUGUUGUUUUCAUGCUGCCAUGGUUGGGGAGAACUGUAGCUGGGACCACAGAUUCUAAUACUUCCAUCACCCAACUUCCAGAACCACAUGAGGAUGAAAUUCAAUUUAUACUUGGUGCCAUCUGUGAUUACCUUAAUGUCAAGGUGCGACGAACAGAUGUUCUUUCUGCCUGGAGUGGUAUUCGUCCAUUGGCAGUGGAUCCUAAAGCAAAGAACACUGAGAGCAUCUCUAGAGAUCAUGUGGUUUCUGAGGAUUAUCCUGGUUUGGUCACAAUUACUGGUGGAAAGUGGACUACUUACCGAAGCAUGGCAGAAGAUGCAGUUAAUGAAGCUAUCAAGUCUGGUAAACUGAGCCCAAGCAAUGAAUGCUUAACAAGAAACCUGCGGCUGACUGGUGGAGAUGGAUGGGAACCCUCAUUUUUUACUGUUCUUUCUCAGCAGUAUGUUCGCAUGAAGAAGUCGUAUGGUGGUAAAGUUGUUCCUGGGGUGAUGGACACAGCUGCUGCAAAGCAUUUGUCUCAUGCAUAUGGCACAUUGGCAGAACGAGUAGCCACCAUAGCUCAGAAUGAAACUCUGGGUAAGAGGCUUGCCCAUGGGUACCCUUAUUUGGAGGCAGAGGUUGCAUACUGUGCUCGUAAUGAGUACUGUGAGUCCGCUGUUGAUUUCAUUGCCCGGAGAUCUCGCCUUGCUUUCCUUGACACUGAUGCUGCAGGCCGUGCGUUGCCACGCAUUAUCCAAAUACUUGCUACUGAGCACAAUUGGGACAAGUCAAGGCAGAAGAAAGAAAUUCAGAAGGCUAAAGAAUUUUUGGAAACUUUCAAGUCUUCAAAGAAUGCACAGUUCCAUGAUGGGAAGCAUGAGUAGGUCUUGAAAUCAAUGAACCCGAUUUUUGGAGCUCAAGAUUCUCCUUAAUUUUAUGCGGCUGGUCUCCACCAUGCUUAUACAGGCACAUAUAUCUUCUACUUCAUUUGGCAAAGCAGCGGAAUCUGAAUCAUAUUCCAUAGCAUGCACAGCUUUUGGGGGCACUUGAUUUUGUUGAGCUUGCUUUGCAUGAUUAAUAAUGCAACUUGUAAAAGAUUGCUGGUCCCCAGGAAACUUUAGCAUCUUGUUGGACCUGUCUUAAAAGGUUGGGGACAAUUUACUGAUUCACAUGGUGUACUGCUGUGGGAAGAGCCAACGCAAUUGUUCCAAGCUGAAGCCCGGAUUUCAGUCUGUUUCAGCCCACAAUUAUCAAGCCCAUCAUAGCCCGUAUGGGUCACUGCUUCAUAUCUAUUAUUAUACACGACUAUUUAUUUUUUUAUUUGUUUCUAAAUAAAUAAUAAUAAUUACAUAUUGAAUAUAAAGUUGCAUAUUG